rnacentral:rRNA from 1 species
CCUACGGGCGGCAGCAGUGGGGGAUAUUGCACAAUGGGGGAAACCCUGAUGCAGCGACGCCGCGUGUGGGAAGACGGUCCUCUGGAUUGUAAACCACUGUCCCCAGGGACGAAGAUGACGGUACCUGGGGAGGAAGCUCCGACUAACUACGUGCCAGCAGCCGCGGUAAUACGUAGGGAGCGAGCGUUGUCCGGAAUUACUGGGUGUAAGGGGAGCGUAGGCGGGACUGCAAGUUGGGUGUAAAAUCUACCGGCUCAACCGGUAGCCGCACUCAAAACUGCAGUUCUUGAGUGAAGUAGAGGCAGGCGGAAUUCCUAGUGUAGCGGUGAAAUGCGUAGAUAGUAGGAGGAACACCAGUGGCGAAGGCGGCCUGCUGGGCUUUUACUGACGCUGAGGCUCGAAAGUGUGGGGAGCAAACAGGAUUAGAUACCCCAGUAGUC